UACAGAGGGUGCAAGCGUUGUUCGGAAUUACUGGGCGUAAAGCGUGCGUAGUCGGUAUUGAGAGUCGCGGGUGAAAUCCCAGGGCUUAACCCUGGAACUGCCUGCGAGACCUCAGUACUAGAGUGUGAGAGGGGAUAGUGGAAUACCAAAGUGUAGCGGUGAAAUGCGUAGAGAUUUGGUAGAACACCGGUGGCGAAGGCGGCUAUCUGGCUCACAACUGACGAUCAGGCACGGAAAGCGUGGGGAGCAAACAGG
rnacentral:rRNA from 1 species